rnacentral:lncRNA from 1 species
GGACAUCUUGGGUCAGGUUGCCAGUCCCACACACUUUCCUGCAUUUCCAUGGACUCCUCUCUCCACCUUGUCUCUACUAUUCAAUCAGUCAUCUAGAAUUAUGUUCAGAGGUUGAUGAAGACAGAAUAUAAUAGACCAGCAAACAAGUAUAGCUGUAGGUUCUACUCCACCCAUGAUUGAAGGAUAAAAAUACUAAGCAAAUUUCAUUUAGAGAUAUUGUUUGACUCCAAAGAUAAUAGCUAGCCAUUAUUCACCUUCCCUGACAUUUUACUACAUUUUAAGAUAAAGUAUAAAAACGCUGGAAUCUUUAACAUGAAAGUUUCUAUACACUGGAGUGUUAUGAAAUCUCCAACACAGGCUAGAUUUCUCAGUUAUUUAGUGAUGGUUUAAGUGUAGUUCUGUCCAGAAAUAGAUUGGUUCACUACUGAAAAUUGUAUAUAAUGUAUGCUGACUGGUUUGCAGGCAUUGGAUUCCAUUUGCUUGACUCCUUGAUUUGCACUGUUGGGGAUUUAGGAAUGGAUUUUUUUAAUUGCUUAAUACAGCUCAAUAUUUU